rnacentral:tRNA from 1 species
GGGGGUGUAGCUAAGUCAGGUAGAGGGGCAGUCUCCAAAACCGCAGGUCGGGGGUUCGAAUCCCUCCACUCCUGCCA